rnacentral:rRNA from 1 species
UGGGACGUGGGGGCACCCUGACCCCAAUGCCGCGUGAGUGUAGAAGGCCUUCGGGUUGUAAAGCUCUUUUGUCAGGGAAGAAACACCGGCUCUAACACAGUCCGGGAAUGACGGUACCUGAAGAAUAAGCACCGGCUAACUACGUGCCAGCAGCCGCGGAAAUACGUAGGGUGCAAGCGUUAAUCGGAAUUACUGGGCGUAAAGCGUGCGCAGGCGGUUAUACAAGACAGGCGUGAAAUCCCCGGGCCUAACCUGGGAAUGGCGCCUGUGACUGUAUAGCUAGAGUGUGUCAGAGGGGGGUAGAAUUCCACGUGUAGCAUUUAAAUGCGUAGAUAUGUGGAGAAAAACCAAUGGCGAAGGCGCCCCCUGGGAUAACACUGACCCUCAUGCCCCACA